rnacentral:rRNA from 1 species
UAGGGAAUCUUCGGCAAUGGGGGGAACCCUGACCGGGCAACGCCGCGUGAGUGAAGAAGGUUUUCGGAUCGUAAAGCUCUGUUGUUAAGGAAGAACGAGUGUGAGAAUGGAAAGUUCAUACUGUGACGGUACUUAACCAGAAAGGGACGGCUAACUACGUGCCAGCAGCCGCGGUAAUACGUAGGUCCCGAGCGUUGUCCGGAUUUAUUGGGCGUAAAGCGAGCGCAGGCGGUUAGAUAAGUCUGAAGUUAAAGGCAGUGGCUCAACCAUUGUAGGCUUUGGAAACUGUUUAACUUGAGUGCAGAAGGGGAGAGUGGAAUUCCAUGUGUAGCGGUGAAAUGCGUAGAUAUAUGGAGGAACACCGGUGGCGAAAGCGGCUCUCUGGUCUGUAACUGACGCUGAGGCUCGAAAGCGUGGGGAGCGAACAGG